AUGACCCCCAGCCUGGCCAUCGCCUUCCUCCUGCUGCUCCCCGCGGGUGUCUAUUCCCAGGUCAGUCUGGUGGAGUCCGGAGGGGGAGUCAAGAAGCCCGGGGAGACCCUCAGACUGACCUGCACCGUGGCCGGAUUCUCUCUCACUAGCUACGAGGUGCACUGGGUCCGCCAGCCAGCGGGGAAAGGGCUGGACUGGCUGGCAAUUAUCUGGGAUGAUGGGGAGUCAGCCAUGAAGAAGAUAGAGGAUAACACCCUGGUCUUCAUCAUAGAUGUCAAGGCCAAGAAACAUCAGAUCAAGCAGGCUGUCAAGAAACUGUAUGAUAUUGAUGUGGCCAAGAAUCAACACAUUGAUCCGUCCUGA